rnacentral:rRNA from 1 species
GACGAACGCUGGCGGCGUGCUUAACACAUGCAAGUCGAACGGAAAGGCCCUGCUUUUGUGGGGUGCUCGAGUGGCGAACGGGUGAGUAACACGUGAGUAACCUGCCCUUGACUUUGGGAUAACUUCAGGAAACUGGGGCUAAUACCGGAUAGGAGCUCCUGCUGCAUGGUGGGGGUUGGAAAGUUUCGGCGGUUGGGGAUGGACUCGCGGCUUAUCAGCUUGUUGGUGGGGUAGUGGCUUACCAAGGCUUUGACGGGUAGCCGGCCUGAGAGGGUGACCGGCCACAUUGGGACUGAGAUACGGCCCAGACUCCUACGGGAGGCAGCAGUGGGGAAUAUUGCACAAUGGGCGGAAGCCUGAUGCAGCAACGCCGCGUGCGGGAUGACGGCCUUCGGGUUGUAAACCGCUUUCGCCUGUGACGAAGCGUGAGUGACGGUAAUGGGUAAAGAAGCACCGGCUAACUACGUGCCAGCAGCCGCGGUGAUACGUAGGGUGCGAGCGUUGUCCGGAUUUAUUGGGCGUAAAGGGCUCGUAGGUGGUUGAUCGCGUCGGAAGUGUAAUCUUGGGGCUUAACCCUGAGCGUGCUUUCGAUACGGGUUGACUUGAGGAAGGUAGGGGAGAAUGGAAUUCCUGGUGGAGCGGUGGAAUGCGCAGAUAUCAGGAGGAACACCAGUGGCGAAGGCGGUUCUCUGGGCCUUUCCUGACGCUGAGGAGCGAAAGCGUGGGGAGCGAACAGGCUUAGAUACCCUGGUAGUCCACGCUGUAAACGGUGGGUACUAGGUGUGGGGUCCAUUCCACGGGUUCCGUGCCGUAGCUAACGCUUUAAGUACCCCGCCUGGGGAGUACGGCCGCAAGGCUAAAACUCAAAGGAAUUGACGGGCCCCCGCACAAGCGGCGGAGCAUGCGGAUUAAUUCGAUGCAACGCGUAGAACCUUACCUGGGUUUGACAUGGAUCGGGAGUGCUCAGAGAUGGGUGUGCCUCUUUUGGGGUCGGUUCACAGGUGGUGCAUGGCUGUCGUCAGCUCGUGUCGUGAGAUGUUGGGUUAAGUCCCGCAACGAGCGCAACCCUUGUUCACUGUUGCCAGCACGUUAUGGUGGGGACUCAGUGGAGACCGCCGGGGUCAACUCGGAGGAAGGUGGGGAUGACGUCAAGUCAUCAUGCCCCUUAUGUCCAGGGCUUCACGCAUGCUACAAUGGCUGGUACAGAGAGUGGCGAGCCUGUGAGGGUGAGCGAAUCUCGGAAAGCCGGUCUCAGUUCGGAUUGGGGUCUGCAACUCGACCUCAUGAAGUCGGAGUCGCUAGUAAUCGCAAAUCAGCAACGCUGCGGUGAAUACGUUCCCGGG